rnacentral:tRNA from 2 species
GGAAGGGUCGCUCAGCGGUAGAGCACCGCGGUGCCCUUGGCCCGCGGCGGCGUCAAGCCUCGUGGCGUUCAAAUCCCACCCCUUCCG